CUAAAAGCAGAUUCCCCUUGUUUUGUGUGUAUUUCUAAUUGACUCGAUCCUAAUUAUUUGAGUGGUCUGUUAGGUUUAUAUUCAGUGAGCAUAUCUGUAUGUAUGAAUGUAUUUCAGUCCUAGGCCACUGAUUGAUUUAUAAACAAGUAAAAGUACUUUAAAAUCAAUCCUGAAUAUAACUGGAAGCCAGUGUAAGGACCCGAGGACUGGUGUGAUAUGCUCAGAUUUUCUGGUUCUAGUCAGAAUUCUGGCAGCAGCGUUCUGUAUGAGCUGCAGCUGUCUAAUGGUCUUUUUGGGAAGGCCGGUGAGGAGACCAUUACAAUAGUCCACCCUGCUGGUGAUAAAGGCAUGAAGAAGUUUCCCCAAGUCUUGAGAUGAUAUUAUGCUGAUUUAGUUACUGCUUUGACACUGAAAGUGAAACAGAAAAGUGAAAAUACCUGCAGUGCGUUUAUGGCAAGCUGUUUUAACAUUUAAUCCUUAAAAUGUACGAGUAUAUUUUCAUGAUACUAGUAUACUACUUAAUUACUACUAGCAGGGCCGGCCCGAGGCAUAAGCGAACUAAGCGGCUGCUUGGGGCCACCAGGGGGCCCCCCAAUCGUUUUUACAAUUAAAGAACUUAAACAAGUGAUAUAAAUGAAUGAAUGAAUGAAUGAAUGAAUAUAAAUUAAUAAAUGAAUAAUUCAAGACAAAAAAAAUCUGAUUUGAUGACAGCUGCUGCUGCUGUGUCUGCUAGCGUUUGAGUCAUGCGCAAUUGCGCAUUGACGAUUCGCGCCGGCGCGCAAGUUUGCGUCACUGUAAUAAAUGAUAAGCCAUGUCACAAAAAAGGAUGUAUCCCUCUGGUGCCGAAAAGAGAAACAAGAAAAGGACAGAGGAGGAGAAAAAAAGAGCAAGAUAAAGCACAGGUGACUCCGCGUGUAGGAGGGGGGCCCCCAAAUCAAAUUCUGCUUAGGGCCCCCAAGAGGCUCGGGCCGGCACUGACUACUAGAAUACUAGUAUUCCAUCAGGUAGGCUACUACUACUUAUUCUUUGAUUACUAGUGCUUAUUUUUCAGGUGCUAGUGCAUUUAAGAUACUAGAAUUUAUUACAUAGUAGUUCUUGUUCAUUAGACACUAGUACUUCAACAGUGACUGGUAGACUUUUUUCAUAAUUUUGGCAAUAGGUGAACUGUUAAAUGAGUGAUUUUGAGAUGAGUCACUGACAAUUUGACUCAUGUUUGAAAUGUAUUACUGAACUUAAAUUUAAGUUUAAUUUGGAACAGCUUAAGCCAUUGAUCAAGCCAUUGAUAGAAGUCUAGUUUGACUGUCUUGCCAAAAAAUCCAACACACACACUUUCAAAAAUUAAGCUUCUUUAUUUGCAUCUAUGGUUCCGUGAAGAACCUUUUACAUUCAAUUCUUUAUAGUGGAAAAAUGUCCUUUAGAUAUUUAAAGUGUUCUUAACACAGGGUCUACAAUGGGCAUGAGCUGGGUAACGUGACAAAAGACAAUAAAACUUGUAAGUGAUUUAAUAAGUGAUUUUCUACACUGGAAACUGUGAAAAUUUCUCCAAAUUUGUUCAAAUGAAGAAACAAACUAUAUUACAUCUUGGAGGGCCCAAAUCCACCUAUAUGCAUAUCUUUUGCAAAUUCAUGGAAAGACAAACACAGCUGCUUGCUUAUAGAAUGUUUGCAAAAAAAAGAACACUGCAUACGUUUUUUUUUUCUUUUUUCAGUGUAUUGUAUAAAUA
ensembl:lncRNA